AUUUCCUUUUUAUUAAACAAAAUAUAAUACAAAAAUACACACUGGCGGCUGGAGCUCUGCUCCUUCUUCCUCUUCAUUACGUGACUCCGUCUUCCAUUGUUGAAUGCUAGCUACAGGUUAAGAUCAAAUCGGACCUUAUCAUCUCCUUCACCAGUAAACCGGACCCUAUCAUCUCCUCUACCAGUAAACCACCAACUCUGACCGUCCUUCGCCACAGUCAAGCUUCCGCCCUCCGAUCGCCGCCAAGAGAGUAUCAGAUGCAGAAAUUGGGAGAUUUCAAGCUUCCCCAAUUCUUCAAUUACCCUCCAUACUUCACACUCCAACCCGUCAGAGAGACCCGCAAGAAGCAGAUACAGCUAUGGAAUGACCUCAUCCUCGACUACUGCAAAACCCAUAGCAUCUUCGUGAUCGGAUUGGAAGACCAAGACUUUCCGCUCUUCUCAAACCCCGCGAUCGAGCGAUCUCUCACCCACGAAGCCCGGGAAGCCUUUCUCUCGACGUUGGUGGCGCAGGGCCGAGCGGAGUGGCUGGAUAAGGGCCGCCGGAAGUGCCUUGUGCUGUGGCAUCGGAUUCAGGACUGGGCUAAUAUUGUCCUAGACUUCGUCAAGGACAAUGGGUUGAAGGAUAGUGUGAUGACGGUUGAGGAAAUCCGAUCUGGGAUUGAGUCUAGGGGGACGGAGCUUCAUGGGAUUGAUCGGACGGUUCUGAUGAGGGCUUUGAAACUGCUGGAGCAGAAAGGGAAGCUUGCAAUCUUCAAGGGGACUACGGCGGAUGACGAGGGCGUGAAGUUUUCCAUUUGAUUUUGAUUAUGGUUUUAUAUCAGUUUUUCGAUUAUAAAUGCAUCAAAGCAUGAACUUUGGAUUCUACUUUUUAUCUGCAUCAGCAGUUUGGUGGGCGUUGUUUCCUUCCCUGCAGAUUUAGAGGAUCAGUAUGAGAAGUUCGACUCAGCAGCAUACUGAAAGGUCAGGUUUAAAGAAGGCCUUCCAUUGAUCUUCCAUACAUGGUCCCGCUUGUGAUUAACUUGCCUUGUUCAUGCAAAACCAUAAAAGCCAAGAUGCCUCGCAAAGAGUUGGCGGAUGGGUUAGGUGAAUGAGAUGACCGUACGUGUAGUCACGUUGCAUGAUCCCAACCCGAAGGCUUCAUAGGGUGCUGAGAAGAUGGUAUUCCUUGCUUGUGUACCAUUCAUCCCCAGCAGCUCCAUUGCUUUGUUUGUGAACUUGAAGCCGAACAAAUUGCACAUUGUAAGGCAUUUUCGUUUGCGCCGUUCCAGCUUUGCAAUAAACUAUAAGCUUGAUAUUAAGUUGGGAGCGUAUCUCUAAAGACUCUACAAACAUAUAAAUGGUCUAACAAAAGGAUGUGCUUAAAUGUAAAACUUGCGUGAUUUUGAGUAUGAGUUGUCUUCAAAUGUCA